CAUGAACGCUAGCGGCAGGCUUAAUACAUGCAAGUCGAGGGGCAGCAGGGGUGUAGCAAUACACUUGCUGGCGACCGGCAAACGGGUGCGGAACACGUACGCAACUUAUCCUGAACUGGGGGAUAGCCCGGGGAAACCCGGAUUAAUACCCCGUAACACUGUGAGGUGGCAUCACCUUCUAGUUAUAGCUCCGGUGGUUCAGGAUGGGCGUGCGGCUGAUUAGGUAGUUGGUUGGGGUAAUGGCCCACCAAGUCUACGAUCAGUAACUGGUGUGAGAGCACGACCCGUCACACAGGCACUGAGACACGGGCCCGACUCCUACGGGAGGCAGCAGUAAGGAAUAUUGGGCAAUGGAGGCUACUCUGACCCAGCCAGGCCGCGUGGAGGAUGAAGGCCCUCUGGGUUGUAAACUUCUUUUACCUGGGACGAAACCUUUCUUUUCUAAGGGAGUUGACGGUACCAGGGGAAUAAGCACCGGCUAACUCCGUGCCAGCCGCCGCCGUAAAAC
rnacentral:rRNA from 1 species